UACGGUGGUUACCUAGGCACCCAGAGAGGAGGAAGGGCAUAGUAAUCGACGAAAUGCUUUGGGGAGUUGAAAAUCAGCAUCGAUCCGGAGAUUCCCGAAUAGGGCAACCUUUUGAACUACUGCUGAAUCCAUGGGCAGGCAAGAAAGAACCAGGCGAACUGAAAGAUCUUAGUAGCCAGAGGAAAAGAAAGCAAAAGCGAUUCCUGUAGUAGCGGCGGGCGAAAUGGGAGCUACCUAAACCAUGAAAACGGGGUUGUCGGAGAGCAAUACAAGCGUCGUACAGCUAGGCGAAGAAGCCCAAAUGCUACACCGUAGAUGGCGAAAGUCCAGUAGCCGAAAGCAUCACUAGCUUAGGCUCUGACCCGAGUAGCAUGGGGCAUGUGGAAUCCCGUGUGAAUUAGUAAGGAACACCUUUCAAGGCUAAAUACUCCUGGGUGACUGAUAGCGAAGUAGUACCGUGAGGGUAAAGAACCCCCGAGAGUGAAAUAGAACAUGAAAGCGUA
rnacentral:ncRNA from 1 species